UACGUAGGGUGCGAGCGUUGUCCGGAAUUAUUGGGCGUAAAGGGCUCGUAGGCGGUCUGUCACGUCGAAAGUGAAAACUCAGGGCUCAACCCUGAGCCUGCUUCCGAUACGGGCAGACUAGAGGUAUGCAGGGGAGAAUGGAAUUCCUGGUGUAGCGGUGAAAUGCGCAGAUAUCAGGAGGAACACCAGUGGCGAAGGCGGUUCUCUGGGCAUUACCUGACGCUGAGGAGCGAAAGCCAGGGGAGCGAACGGG
rnacentral:rRNA from 1 species